GAGAGAGAGAGAGAGAGAGAGCGAGAGCGUAGCAGGGAGGAAGUCCUACACUCCAGGGUUUCUCAUGAAGCGUGUCAGACGGUAUGUUCUAGAGAAGGCAGAGGACCUUUACCACUAGUGAGGAACGAGGUAAAAGCAACUAAGAGGAGAAGUGGAGUCUGAGUGUUUCUAUGCAAGCGGGGUGAAGUGACCCUCCUCUCUGUGGGUCAGCCGACAGAAGAUGAAGAGCCAAAUCACCAACGCCAUCUCUGACUUCUUCUUUGAGUAUGAGACCCCACGCCAGGUGCUGGUGAGGAACCGGAGGGUCGGGGUGGUGUGCCGUCUGAUCCAGCUGGGGGUCCUGGCAUACAUCAUUUUGUGGGUGUUCGUCUACGAGAAAGGCUACCAGUCCACGGACACAGCAGUCAGCUCUGUCUCCACCAAAAUGAAAGGAGUGGGCUACACCAAUGUGAGUGGAGAAGAGAGAGUCUGGGAUGUGGCCGACUACGUCUUCCCUUCGCAGGGAGACUCAUCUUUUGUGGUGAUGACCAACUACAUUAUAACUGAAGGUCAGAAGAUGGGAAAGUGUCCAGAGCUCCCAGGCAAGCACAACUGCAGCUCCAAUACAGACUGUGAAGGAGGGAGAUACAAACGUACGGGACAUGGGGAAAUGACAGGAGUAUGUGUGAAUACUACUAAGACCUGUGAGAUUUUGGCUUGGUGUCCUGUUGAGGAUGACCGCAAAAUCCCAGACCCUCCUCUGUUGAUGUCUGCAGAGAACUACACACUGUUCAUCAAAAAUUCUGUAACUUUCCCCACAUUUAAGGUCACAAGGAGUAACCUGGUGGAAGGUAUUGAUAAGAACUACAUCGGCAAUUGCCUUCAUGACCCAAAGACUGCUCCACUGUGCCCCAUAUUCAGAUUGGGAGACAUAGUUAAACUGUCUGGCUUCAAUUUCGAAACAAUAGCUAAAGUGGGAGGGGCUAUUGGCAUUGUGAUUGACUGGACAUGUAACUUUGAUGUGCAUGUAAGGAACUGUAAACCAACAUAUGAAUUUCACGGUCUGUACGGAAACGAUGUCCAAGCAUCAGUGGGCUACAACUUCAGGUAUGCAAAGCAUUAUUUGGAGGACAAAGUUCAGAAAAGAACACUUCUCAAAGUGUUUGGCAUCAGGUUUGAUAUCAUUGUGCAAUCACUGGCAAGAAAAUUCGAUAUCAUCCCAACAUUGACAGCUAUAGGCUCCGGAGUGGGCAUAUUUGGAGUGGCAACUGUAGUCUGUGACUUGAUGAUGCUCUAUUUGCUACCAAAAAGAGAAUUUUACAAGAACAUGAAAUUCAAAUACACAGAGGCACACGCACAGCAUGACAGCGAGUCGCUCGGUUUAGACACAAGCGUCUAUUACACCCUUGAAGCAAAUGCAAGACAAGUCGAAGGCACUGGCCAGUCCAACGUGAGUGCAUAUAGAAGUCCAGACAGUGGUGUAGAUUUCCCUUGUAUUUUCUAUCAUGUGAUGUUAAAGGAGGGUCCUUUUGCACAUUACCCCUAGAGUUGUAAAUGGUUCCUACUCUCUGGCUUUGACUUUUAUCCCACAGGACCCUGAUUCAGAAGCAGGCAGCACAGAGACUGAGGCAUCCAAUAAGUGACCAUGGAGCAAAUUUUAAAGUCAGUGGCUGUGGUGUUUGGACGUGUGCUGCACUGGAACUCUGCACUACACCCUGCAAGAUGACACACAUACACACACACAAACACACACACACACACUAUCUCUCUUUAAAUGGACUCUGGAGACUGCAAAGGACACAGUUAAAUGACAACGCUCCAAUCUUUCACAGCAUCUUCUGCCAACAUCCUCCCACUCAUCCUAUAAAGCCACUCUGAGUGAGUCGCAGGUAGAAUAGCUCAGCUGUAUGUGUAUUUUAUUUCGGGUGGAGCUUGGUUUGCUUUGUUUGAUCAUUUGGGUGUUACCUCAGACUCUUGACUGUCUCUAUUUCUGUAAAGGUGAAGGAACAGUGUCUGCCAUGUCGAUGCUCUAUGUGUAAGUCAGACAUUCCCCCUGUCAUUGUCUUUGUCAAAACAAGUUACAUCAAUAAUGUGUGGAUGUACCACUGUUAUUGAUCCUGUGUGCAUUUUGUGACAGUGGAGUUUAAUAAAAUAUGUACA